rnacentral:pre_miRNA from 1 species
ACAACAACAUUCGGACCGUCGGUCUACCGAGCAAUAUCACCCGCUCGGUGGAAGAUCUUCCUUUUGUCGUUAAAC